GGUUGAGGUAAUACUACAGUAUCUGGACAGGUUGAGGUAAUACUACAGUAUCUGGACAGGUUGAUGUAAUACUACAGUAUCUGGACAGGUUGAUGUAAUACUACAGUAUCUGGACAGGUUGAUGUAAUACUACAGUAUCUGGACAGGUUGAGGUAACACUACAGUAUCUGGACAGGUUGAGGUAACACUACAGUAUCUGGACUGGUUGAUGUAAUACUACAGUAUCUGGACAGGUUGAGGUAACACUACAGUAUCUGGACAGGUUGAGGUAAUACUACAGUAUCUGGACAGGUUGAGGUAAUACUACAGUAUCUGGAC
ensembl:lncRNA